UGGGGAAUCUUCGGCAAUGGGCGCAAGCCUGACCGAGCCAUGCCGCGUGAGUGAUGAAGGCCUUAGGGUCGUAAAGCUCUUUCGCCAGGGAUGAUAAUGACAGUACCUGGUAAAGAAACCCCGGCUAACUCCGUGCCAGCAGCCGCGGUAAUACGGAGGGGGUUAGCGUUGUUCGGAAUUACUGGGCGUAAAGCGCGCGUAGGCGGAUUAGUAAGUCAGAGGUGAAAUCCCAGGGCUCAACCCUGGAACUGCCUUUGAUACUGCUAGUCUAGAGUUCGAGAGAGGUGAGUGGAAUUCCGAGUGUAGAGGUGAAAUUCGUAGAUAUUCGGAGGAACACCAGUGGCGAAGGCGGCUCACUGGCUCGAUACUGACGCUGAGGUGCGAAAGUGUGGGGAGCAAACAGGAUUAGAUACCCGGGUAGUCC
rnacentral:rRNA from 1 species